UAGGAAAGUCAUAAAUAUAUAAAUUAUAUUAUAUAAUUAAUAUAAUAAUAAAAUAAAUUAUAUAUUUUAUUUAUAAUAUUAUUUCUUUAUAAGAUAAAUAUUAUCUAAUUAAUAAUUAGAUUGAAUAAUAUUUAUAAAGAAAUAUAUAUAAAAAAUCAUUAUAUAAAUUUAAUUAUAAUUUAAAUAAAUUUUAUAUAAAUUAAUAUAAUAUUAAUAAAGUAAUUAGUAUAAAUAAAUAAUAUGAAAAUAAAACUUAAUAAAUAUAUAAAUAUAGUCCAUAUAUAUAUAUUAAUAAAAAGUAAUAUAUAUAUAUAUAUUGGAAUAGUUAUAUUAUUAUACAGAAAUAUGCUUAA
rnacentral:misc_RNA from 1 species